rnacentral:rRNA from 1 species
GAUGAACGCUGGCGGCGUGCUUAACACAUGCAAGUCGAACGGUGAAGCCAAGCUUGCUUGGUGGAUCAGUGGCGAACGGGUGAGUAACACGUGAGCAACCUGACCUGGACUCUGGGAUGAGCGCUGGAAACGGCGUCUAAUACUGGAUACGAGACGUGGCCGCAUGGUCAACGUUUGGAAAGAUUUUUUGGUUCAGGAUGGGCUCGCGGCCUAUCAGCUUGUUGGUGAGGUAAUGGCUCACCAAGGCGUCGACGGGUAGCCGGCCUGAGAGGGUGACCGGCCACACUGGGACUGAGACACUGCCCAGACUCCUACGGGAGGCAGCAGCGGGGAAUAUUGCACAAUGGGCGAAAGCCUGAUGCAGCAACGCCGCGUGAGGGAUGACGGCCUUCGGGUUGUAAACCUCUUUUAGCAAGGAAGAAGCGAAAGUGACGGUACUUGCAGAAAAAGCGCCGGCUAACUACGUGCCAGCAGCCGCAGUAACAC